AUCCGUGUUGUACGGAAGCCGACGCACCUCUCCGACGUAGGCGGAGAUGCAGGGAACCACCAUGUUGUACGGCAACCAAGGUGCCGCCCCUCUGUGGGCGGGGAUGCACACUAACUGUGUCAAGGCCACACAGAAAUCUGUUGGAAAUCCCUGUGGAAACAAACGCAAAUGAAAAGCCGCAAAGAGCAAAGACAAAGGAAACUAAGAGAAUUACCAGUCGACCUACCUUUAAAGAAUGACUAAGGAUGUUCUUCAAAGGAAAUGAUAACAGCAGGCAUAGAACUUCAGAAAGAAAGAAAGAACAAUGGAAUGAGAAAAAAUAGGGCCGUACUGCCUCUUUUGAUCAAUUUGCCCUGUUCAUGGUUAUGCAUGCUGAUGGAGACUGCUUUUGAAGCAUCUUUAUUGAAGGAGCGGGAGAAGAGUAAGAAAGUUGGAGAGGACUAAGAAGACAGGAAAGAAAGAAAAGCAAAAGGAAGAUAGAGGUCAGUGAGAAAUGAGUGACAAAAU